rnacentral:rRNA from 1 species
AACGAACGCUGGCGGCAUGCCUAACACAUGCAAGUCGAACGAGACCUUCGGGUCUAGUGGCGCACGGGUGCGUAACGCGUGGGAACCUGCCUUUAGGUUCGGAAUAACUCAGAGAAAUUUGAGCUAAUACCGGAUGAUGUCUUCGGACCAAAGAUUUGUCGCCUUUAGAUGGGCCCGCGUUGGAUUAGCUAGUUGGUGGGGUAAAGGCCUACCAAGGCGACGAUCCAUAGCUGGUCUGAGAGGAUGAUCAGCCACACUGGGACUGAGACACGGCCCAGACUCCUACGGGAGGCAGCAGUGGGGAAUAUUGGACAAUGGGCGAAAGCCUGAUCCAGCAAUGCCGCGUGAGUGAUGAAGGCCUUAGGGUUGUAAAGCUCUUUUACCCGAGAUGAUAAUGACAGUAUCGGGAGAAUAAGCUCCGGCUAACUCCGUG